ensembl:lncRNA
UUUAUAUUAUUUAAUGGACCUGAGCUAAGUUGAACAAACAGUGAACUGUUGUAUUUUUAUUAACUAACAUUAACUAAGAUUAAUAAAUAGUGUAACAAAUGUAUUGCUCAUUGUUGGUUAAUGCAUUUAAUUAUGUCAACUAAAAUGAUCUGAUUGUAAAGUAUUACCCAUGUCUACAUACUGGACAGUCCUGAUACAUCAGCUAAGCACAUAAUUACAAGCCUAAACAAACACUUAAUGAAAAGAACAUUAUUACAAAUUAAUUGCAUGUCUCAGUUCAACUUGACAAACAAAAUAUGUUGCAUUUGUUGUUUGAUGUUGAUCAGUUGUUAGUAAUGCAGCGCAGGCCUUUUAUCUGAAUCAUUAGAGCAAAACAAGAACAAAUGAUAAACACUGCAGCUACAUUACAUGGUCCUUGGAUGAACGAGUGAUAGAAGUAAAGUAAGUGUCAUGAAGAAAAAAGAAUUACGAAAAUGUGCUACCAGCUUUCCUUUUUUCAGAGAAUAAAUUUUUUUUUCACAUAAAACCAAAUGAUACCUGAACCGUGAUAAAGCAAAACUUAUAAUUUAUUUUUGGUUUAGUAAGAAAGAAUAUGCAGCACAGUUUAUACAACAUAGGCUACAACUCAAGGUGCAGUCACAUGUAUAGAUAUUUGUCUAUUUUUUUGUGGGAGAUAUAUGGAAGCCCGUUUCCACCAUUGAAUAAAAAAUAAAAAAAAAGGUUAUUGCAACUUUUUAACUUUUUUUCACAGAAUUGUGAGAUAUAAACUCAAAAUUGUGAGUUAUAAAGUCAGAAUUGUGAGAUAUAAAGUCAGAAUUGGGGGGACUGAUAUGUUCUUAGAAUUGCAAGUUUAUAUCUCAUAAUUGUGACUCGCAAUUCUGAGAAAAAAAAUCUGAAUUGCGAGUUUGUAUCACCCAGUUAUGAUAAAAAAGUCAGAAUUGUUAGAUAAAAAUUCACAAUUACCUUUUUUAUUUUUUAUUCAGUGGUGGAAAUGGGCUUCCAUAGAGAUAUGCAAUCAUUUAAAUGGGAAUUUUGCAUGAAGGCGAAACUGUUCCCUAAAUGGAUUUUACUCAUUUUCAAGUUGGUACACUGAAGUUGUCGUGAUGAGAAAUAGAACAGAAAUAUAACCAAGAGAAAGCUUGGUUUGAAAGUGAUUUUUAUGUUAGCUGUGCUUCAUAUCUAUACUAUAGACAUAAAACUGACCUUUUUUGUCUGUGAAAUUUCAAUGACUUAUUGCUAAUUGCUCUGUAUGAACUGAGCUUCAUAUAUCACUACACUAUUAACAAUAGACCUUUUUUGUCCACAAAACUUUGCAGAAAGGUCGCAGAUGUGAUCGCAUCUUAAGAAUGAAUACACAGUUAGUGGUCAAGUAUUAUAAAAAAGUAAAAACAACCA